CGCGGGGUGGAGCAGCUUGGUAGCUCGUCGGGCUCAUAACCCGGAGGCCGCAGGUUCAAAUCCUGCCCCCGCCACCA
rnacentral:tRNA from 1 species